rnacentral:rRNA from 1 species
GACGAACGCUGGCGGCGUGCUUAACACAUGCAAGUCGAACGGAAAGGCCCUGCUUUUGUGGGGUGCUCGAGUGGCGAACGGGUGAGUAACACGUGAGUAACCUGCCCUUGACUUUGGGAUAACUUCAGGAAACUGGGGCUAAUACCGGAUAGGAGCUCCUGCUGCAUGGUGGGGGUUGGAAAGUUUCGGCGGUUGGGGAUGGACUCGCGGCUUAUCAGCUUGUUGGUGGGGUAGUGGCUUACCAAGGCUUUGACGGGUAGCCGGCCUGAGAGGGUGACCGGCCACAUUGGGACUGAGAUACGGCCCAGACGCCUACGGGAGGCAGCAGUGGGGAAUUUUGCACAAUGGGCGGAAGCCUGAUGCAGCAACGCCGCGUGCGGGAUGACGGCCUUCGGGUUGUAAACCGCUUUCGCCUGUGACGAAGCGUGAGUGACGGUAAUGGGUAAAGAAGCACCGGCUAACUACGUG